UACGUAGGGGGCAAGCGUUGUCCGGAUUCAUUGGCGUAAAGAGCGUGUAGGCGGCCAGGUAGGUCGGUUGUGAAAACUGGAGGCUCAACCUUCAGAGGUCGACCGAAACCAUCUGGCUAGAGUCCGGGAGAGGAGAGUGGAAUUCCUGGUGUAGCGGUGAAAUGGCGCAGAUAUCAGGAAGAACACCCGUGGCGAAAGCGGCUCUCUGGAACGGUACUGACGCUGAGA
rnacentral:rRNA from 1 species